CCCACCCCUAGAGGCGGUACAGGUAUAGUUGCUGUGUCACGUGUGUGUCAGUAGGUGGCAGAGAGGAGAGAGGCUGUGUCUGUCAGUGUUGUCAUCUAUGAACAUCUGAAUGAUCAGUAGCCUAACAUU